GCUCUGGUAGUGUAGUGGUUAUCACGCUUGUCUCACAUCAGUUGUACACAAGAGGCCCCCGGUUCGAACCCGGGCUGGAGCA